UACGUAGGGUGCGAGCGUUAAUCGGAAUUACUGGGCGUAAAGCGUGCGCAGGCGGUUUUGUAAGACAGGCGUGAAAUCCCCGGGCUCAACCUGGAAAUGGCGCUUGUGACUGCAAAGCUAGAGUGCGGCAGAGGGGGAUGGAAUUCCGGCGUGUAGCAGUGAAAUGCGUAGAUAUGCGGAGGAACACCGAUGGCGGAAGGCAAUCCCCUGGGCCUGCACCGACGCUCAUGCACGAAAGCGUGGGGAGCAACAGG
rnacentral:rRNA from 1 species